GGCUGCCGGCUGGGGACAUGGUGAGUGUGAAGCUGUAACCUUCUGCUGGGGCCGGGGCUGAAGUUUUUUCGCCAGAGCAAGGAAGGCUGCCCCUGGCAGCAACUGCACUCCUUCCUUACUCCUGUUGAGGUUCAUUUUAUGGCAUCUAACUACCAUACAAGUUCAGACCAAUGGAAGAAAAGAGCAGCAAAAAUUGAACUGAAUGAAUCCCAAAAGCAAGAAAUUAAAGACGCCUUUAAUUUAUUUGAUAUUGAUGGGUCUGGAACCACUGAUGUAAAAGAAGAUUGCAAUGUGGGCCUUAAGAUUUGAACCAAAGAAAGAAGAAAUUUAAAAAAUGGUAGCUGAAGUUGAUAAAGAAGGAAUUGGCACCAUUAGUUUUGAAGAUUUUUUUUGCCAUUAUGAGUAUAAAAUGAUAUAGUUGUGAUUUUAUUUUUCAAAGAAAUACUAGCAAUAACCUGCUACAUUUUAGGGCUGGAGCAAUCAGAAGUUUUAUAGAGAAGUAAUUAGAACGAGGUUUUUAAGGAUGGGAGCUAGGAAGAGCAAGAUUACAUAUGUUUUCAGGGUAGUAAUGAGAAGACUAUGAUAUGGAGAAGACGUUUUUGUCAGGAAAUAAUGAGGCUAUAUUGCAGGAUAGAGAGACUGGGGCCAGAAUUUGGAAGCCUUUAAUUCAGCCAACAUAUAUUGAAUGCCUAUUUUUGCCAGGCACUAUUCUAAGGAGCAUUGAAAGAGACAACCUUCCUGUUUGAAGCUUACGUUUUUGGUAAUGGAUCUGAAUUACGAGGUUUAAUAACAGAUGCAUUUUGGACCACCCUGUGCCUCCUCCACCUCAGCAAGCUCUACAUUUAAGCACCUUGAGGGCAGAUGAAAUGCUUGAUGAAGCUGAUCAUGAUGGAGAUGGAGAAAUAAAUGAAGAAGAUUUUUUGAGAGUGAUGAAAAAUAUUACUCUUUAUUAAUAGCAUUGUUUUGGUCCUUGUGGAAAAUUAACAAAUUUGUAUUUGUUAUACAGUUUUAUAAUUUAAUAUCUGAAUGUAUUCAUUUUCAGUUUUUAGUUUAUAUGUACACAUUGGCUUCUUGAUGUCUAAUCCAUGUAAGAAGUUACACAUUUCUACCAAUAUGAUGUUAAAUCUACAACAUCAAGAAACAAAACAUAAUGACUUCUUUGAACCAUUAAUCCAAGAACAGUAUUCUAGCUGCUAUUUUGAGAACCCUAGGUCACAAAGACUUAGAAUUUUUAAGUUUGAUGAAGUUGGCUUCACAUCCAAAUGAAUUUGGCAAACAAACCUUGUAUUUUCCUUUUGUGCAACCCAAAAAAACCUGAUGAACAUUUGCUUUUUAGUCAGUUACUCAAAUACAUAAAGUAUUAAAUAGAACUGUCUGAAAACAUUAUUUGCUAAUUUUCUUCUUUUAGUUAUAAAGAAAAUUCAAAAUAGCACUUACAUCACCCAUAUUUCCCUGUAAGUUUGACUCUAUAGUGAGCACUUAAUACCUCUGUGCUAGGACAGGUGGUGUAGAGUUUUAUUUUUUUUUUAAUUUUAUUUAUAUAUGUUUUGAGACAAAGUCUCCCUCUGUCACCCAGGCUGGAGUGCAGUAGUGCAAUCUCAGCUCAAUGCAACCUCCGUCUCCUGGGCUCAAGAGAUUCUUCUGCCUCAGCCUCCGGAGUAGCUGGGACUACAGGCACCCGCCACCAUGCCUGGCUAAUUUCUUGCAUUUUUAGUAGAGACGGGGUUUCACUGUGUUAGCCAUGAUGGUCUCGAUCUCCUGACCUCGUGAUCUGCCUACCUCGGCCUCCCAAACUGCUGGGAUUACAGGGGUGAGACAGCGCACCUGGCUGAGAUUUUAUGUGUUGUCUCAGUAAACAUAUUACAAGUUGGAAGCUGAUUGUAUUAGCUCCAUUUUACAUACAAGAAAACUAAAGUUCAGAGAAGUUUUAAAAAUUCCCCAAUUGCCCAUUGAUAAUAAAUAAAACAUGGAUUCCAAAUCUUAAGUUCUUAUUCUUCAUUAUGCUGCUUCCCUAUGGAUAAAACUUUCAAGAUAACUGUGGAUUUUCUAACUCAUUUUCAAUUCUGUGACUCUUGUGAUUUCUUCCUUGUGAAAGAGCCAAACUGUUGGGAAAUGGAAUCUCAUACAUACAGUCUUUUAACUCCUACUCAGUUGUUUGAGAGUGGGCCUUGGGCCUGGAACACUUCUUUUGAAGAGACUAGGAGUCCACAGAGCCUGUGCUGAACUUACCACCCCGUAUGGUAAUAUCUUCCUCUGUUUCAGAGUCAAUAUGUAGUCCUUUGCCCUGCUUAAGCGUGUGCAUCAUAUGGCAUCUGACCAACCCCACUGCUCUGUCUCCUGUGCGGGAGGGGAUGGGGGCCCUUCAGCACAAGAGGAGUGUGCAGGCCACCUGCCCUGUGUCAGCUGCCAAGAGGGACCCUCUGGUCAUGGGAGACUGAAGUCCGCUAGGGAAGCUGAUCUUGCUCUGUCUCUUCUGUAUAGCAAGAUCAAAUUCAUCAAUAUAUGGACAAUUUAAGAGGCUUUUACUUCAACAAUUCCUGAGGAACCAAAUUCUGCCAACAACAAUGUGAACGAACUUUGAAACUGAUCUUUUUCCAGUUGACCUUUGAGAUAGUACAACUCUAGUUGACACUUUGAUUACAACAAGUGAGAGACCCUGAAGCAGAGGAACAAGUGAAGCCACCCCUGGAUUUCUGAUUUACAGAAACUGUGCAAUAACAAUUAUUUUAAGCUACUGAGUUAUGGGACAGUUAUGCAGCAAUAGAUUACUGAUAUAGUCCUCCAUCUUGAGACUUGUGUGUUAACUUCUCCCCUAUUGAAUGGCUAGAUAUACAAGGAACCAACUAAGAGUUCUAUCAAAUAUUAAAUAAAUAUGAGAUUAAAUAGACUUAUUACAUGAUGGCAUAUUUAAAAUAGCAAUAUCAUUUAUUAGGGUGAUGCUCUUUUAUAACUAUUUGCUUGUCACACAUGCAUCUGAAACUCAGUGAGUUUGCUGCCUCUUUCUGUAGCUUAGAUAUCAUGGGGACUUUAGUUCACCGAUGAGAGGACUAUUAAGAACUUUUUUAAAAGUCCCAUUUUGCAGUUCCUGCCACCCUGAACCUGCCACUCAAAUAGUUUCUUCCUCUAAGCUGUUGUUUAGUAUAGAUGUCCUGGAGUCUGAUUUAUAUUUUAGUUGCAAUAAGCAGAUUGUUGGCAAUGAAAUUAACCACGUGCCAGGUUUCAGGUAGUAUCAGAAGUGGGGAAAAUUUAUGGUUUGUGCUGACGGAACUUUUGCAACUGCAAAAGACAGACUGAUAACGAACACAUCAAAGCGGCCACAACACCCAAUUUCAGUUCUUGCUUUCGUUCCAGAAUGGAUGAAAAUUCAUAUUGGAUGGAUUACAGUCAAGUCUGAGAAUAAGCAGAAAACUGGGGAUAUAAGGAAAUGGAGCGAAAGCUAAAUGAUUCUUUAAUUAUUUAAGAAAUUGAAUCUGAAAAUAAACACUUUUCCACAAAGAAAACUCUA